rnacentral:rRNA from 1 species
GGUUGAUCCUGCCCGGAGGUCAGUGCUAUUGGGAUUCGACUAAGCCAUGCGAGUCGCGAGGAUUGGCCAUCGGCUGACGGCUCAGUAACACGCGGAUAAUCUGCCCUUAGCUGGAGGAUAAUCUCGGGAAACUGAGAAUCAUAUUCCAUAGAUUUAGGAUGCUGGAAUGCACUUAAAUUAAAAGCUUCGGCGCCUAAGGAUGAGUCUGCGGACUAUCAGGUUGUAGUCAGGGUAACGACCUGACUAGCCUACGACGGAUACGGGUUGUGAGAGCAAUAACCCGGAGAUGAUAUCUGAGACACGAUAUCAGGCCCUACGGGGCGCAGCAGGCGCGAAAACUUCGCAAUGUGCGAAAGCACGACGAGGGAAUCCCAAGUGCUGGCUCGUUAGAGUCAGCUGUUUCUAUGUCUAAAAAGCAUAGAGAGUAAGGGCUGGGUAAGACGGGUGCCAGCCGCCGCGGUAA